rnacentral:rRNA from 1 species
GACGAACGCUGGCGGCGUGCCUAAUACAUGCAAGUAGAACGCUGAAGGAGGAGCUUGCUUCUCUGGAUGAGUUGCGAACGGGUGAGUAACGCGUAGGUAACCUGCCUGGUAGCGGGGGAUAACUAUUGGAAACGAUAGCUAAUACCGCAUAAGAGUAGAUGUUGCAUGACAUUUGCUUAAAAGGUGCAAUUGCAUCACUACCAGAUGGACCUGCGUUGUAUUAGCUAGUUGGUGGGGUAACGGCUCACCAAGGCGACGAUACAUAGCCGACCUGAGAGGGUGAUCAGCCACACUGGGACUGAGACACGGCCCAGACUCCUACGGGAGGCAGCAGUAGGGAAUCUUCGGCAAUGGACGGAAGUCUGACCGAGCAACACCGCGUGAGUGAAGAAGGUUUUCGGAUCGUAAAGCUCUGUUGUAAGGGAAGAACGAGUGUGAGAGUGGAAAGUUCACACUGUGACGGUAUCUUACCAGAAAGGGACGGCUAACUACGUG